rnacentral:rRNA from 1 species
CUAAUACAUGCAAGUCGAGCGGACAGAAGGGAGCUUGCUCCCGGAUGUUAGCGGCGGACGGGUGAGUAACACGUGGGUAACCUGCCUGUAAGACUGGGAUAACUCCGGGAAACCGGAGCUAAUACCGGAUAGUUCCUUGAACCGCAUGGUUCAAGGAUGAAAGACGGUUUCGGCUGUCACUUACAGAUGGACCCGCGGCGCAUUAGCUAGUUGGUGGGGUAAUGGCUCACCAAGGCGACGAUGCGUAGCCGACCUGAGAGGGUGAUCGGCCACACUGGGACUGAGACACGGCCCAGACUCCUACGGGAGGCAGCAGUAGGGAAUCUUCCGCAAUGGACGAAAGUCUGACGGAGCAACGCCGCGUGAGUGAUGAAGGUUUUCGGAUCGUAAAGCUCUGUUGUUAGGGAAGAACAAGUGCGAGAGUAACUGCUCGCACCUUGACGGUACCUAACCAGAAAGCCACGGCUAACUACGUGCCAGCAGCCGCGGUAAUACGUAGGUGGCAAGCGUUGUCCGGAAUUAUUGGGCGUAAAGGGCUCGCAGGCGGUUUCUUAAGUCUGAUGUGAAAGCCCCCGGCUCAACCGGGGAGGGUCAUUGGAAACUGGGAAACUUGAGUGCAGAAGAGGAGAGUGGAAUUCCACGUGUAGCGGUGAAAUGCGUAGAGAUGUGGAGGAACACCAGUGGCGAAGGCGACUCUCUGGUCUGUAACUGACGCUGAGGAGCGAAAGCGUGGGGAGCGAACAGGAUUAGAUACCCUGGUAGUCCACGCCGUAAACGAUGAGUGCUAAGUGUUAGGGGGUUUCCGCCCCUUAGUGCUGCAGCUAACGCAUUAAGCACUCCGCCUGGGGAGUACGGUCGCAAGACUGAAACUCAAAGGAAUUGACGGGGGCCCGCACAAGCGGUGGAGCAUGUGGUUUAAUUCGAAGCAACGCGAAGAACCUUACCAGGUCUUGACAUCCUCUGACAACCCUAGAGAUAGGGCUUUCCCUUCGGGGACAGAGUGACAGGUGGUGCAUGGUUGUCGUCAGCUCGUGUCGUGAGAUGUU